rnacentral:sRNA from 1 species
AAAAUGUGUCCAAAUACACAUCUUAGCACUUUAAGAUAAACUGGUCUUUGUUACAGUAGACAAGGAGUCUUAUUUUCAAAACUACUUGGUUGCUAACUAUAAUUACGAAGUACCUGCUGCCCACUUCUGGUCUCAGCUUAUACUGUUCUCAGACCCAUGUAGUCAAGAUACCAAUACAUAUAAAAUAGCAUUUAAAAGGAAUAGCUCAGAAAACUGGAAUUCUCCAAACUGAAGUCAUUGUCCUGAGAAAUAGAGCAGUCAGGGAUAAAUGAAAUAUAAUUCAUUCUUGUCCUGCAUUGAUGCAUCCAUUGCCUUCCUCUGAACCAGCUUGUUCAGGAAGAAAAGCUGCUUUACUAUGAUAUUAGGAUAGCUCAGCAGAGUUGAUCAUGUAAGAGCAGUAACCACAGUACUAUCAGGUGACUUUUCCAUGAUGUAUUCUCUGCCUGUUCUCUGUCCUUUGUAUGUGUGAGAAUUGUGGCAUUGAUACAUCAUUUAAUGCUAUCAUAGAGAUCUUACUUCAUGAUUAAAAUGUAAGUCUGUGCUGAAAACCACCAUCUUCCUCAGAUGCUAGACUUGCAGAGUCCUUUCCCUAUUGAUGUGGUUCUAAGGAUGACGUUGGGCCUAAAACUCAGAAAUAAGUAGGAAUGAUAGCAUAUGUGGAAUGCAAAAUCUGUUCCUGUUUGGUUCUCUUUGAACUGAAUACACACUCUUUUUAAAGAUAUUUUUAAAGUAAUUAUUUAGUGUUGGGCAGUAAAUCCCUUAUCAAACACAUAUUAAUGCUAGAGCAGCUGUACCUGCAAACUAGAAAGAUGUUUCUGAGAAAAGCUCUACCACAGCCAUGUGUCCCUGAUCCCAGUUGUUGCUCCUGAGGGCCACAAAUAUUGUCUUCUUCAUUAGCAAGCUAAAUUCUUAAAUUAACUGCCCACACCACCACUCAGUUUUAAAAUUCCCUCUUGGAGCCAUGUAGACAACAUUCAUUGAAGCAAGAGGAAAAGGAUCUGCAUGUGGAGCAUGGCUUCUACCUUCAGACCACAGUAGGAGGACUAGUUUCUCGUGUAAAUCAUGGAGACAAAUAGGGCAAGCAAACAACUGUUAGCACCAAGAUUAUGUAGAAGUACCAGGUUGUGCCACGGUGAGUGAUUUUGUAAUUUCCCAGCCUGUACUAAUUCAUGAUCUGUACAAAUUGGGAAGAUUAGCUUGAUCCAAUUAAUAUUGAAUUUCCAACUGGAGGGCACUAUUGGAGAUAUGUCCAAUGCACUUGCAAAUUUACUUCAGCUCAGACUGUUUCAAAACAAUCUGAUGUUCUGUGGAGCUCUAGUUACAUAUAGAUCACUGUGAGCUGCCAUGUAAAUGUUAGGGAUAAAGCCUGCUUCUAUAGUUAGUGCUUUUUACAACAACCCACUUUGAACAUAGUAAAGUAUGAUCUCAUGCACAAGGUAUUUGGGACAAGAGGAGCAGCUUUGAAAAGAGCUGCAAGCAUGUAGAGGAGUUGACCUACAAGUGAGCUAUGUGUGCUUCAGUGACAGAGUUGGCAGAGUAAGGAUAGCUAAGUACACUGUAGUUAGGCGACUUCAUCAUAAUCUCAAGAAGCUGAACAAUGAUCUUCCUGACUCCAUGUUUUCCUGCUGGAUUUAGUCUUGCUUUGGUCUGUUCCAUCCUUAGCAUGCUUUGACUCAUUGUGAAGUAAUACCGUUUAUUCUUCACACUGUAUGGCGGAAACCUAGCACUCUUGUUGAAGGUCAUGGAAGAUUGUGGGAGUGUAAGAGGUAGUUUGCACUCUCUAAGAUUUUAGCAAAAUGUGGUGUUGAAACGGGAAUGUGUCUCAUUCACUCAUAUCUAAAAAUACGUACUUUCCAGUACCUGGAAGACUGUGGAAAGGAAUAGAGAUGUGAGCACAUGUGUAUCAUGUAGAUGAUUUAAGAACUUUAUAAGCCUAUGACCAUGCAAAGUGUGCUGCCUAUUUCCUUUCUGAGUUUCAAAAUGUGAACUCUAUUUUCUUCUCAUUUCCAUGGGUUUUCAUUUUCUUCGAGGACUCUAAGCCUUUGGAUGUAGAAGUCCAAUUUAAUUCUUUCAAUUAUAAUUUGCCUUGGCCAUGAUGUGUUUUAUGACAACACUAAAUGUUAACUAUACAGAAAGGUUUUAUGAACAGUGAGAGCACAGUACACCUCCCCUUCCAAUGAGAAACCAUGGAGGGUAUUUUGUAAAUCGAGUUUCAGAGCAGUUAGCUUAAGUCCAUUCCCUUUGAGAGUAAGAGCAACCCCAUGAUAAACAAGUCUAGGUUGCUAUGGAGAAUCAAUUCUCUUAAGAACAUAAUGCUUUAUUCUAAACAGGCCAAUAACAAAUUACUUUUCAGGUCACUCUUCUGUAGAAGAUUAUCAUGCUAGAAAUAGUGGUUCAAUUGCAUGGCAUAAAUAUAUACUGCUAUUUCAGUAUCUAUACUGCGUUCAGUAUCUAUUAUAUAUUUUAGUGUGCUUAGUGAAUCAAGGUCAGCAGGAGUUCUAAAUGAGACUCUGUCUCAUACAGAGGAGACAGAUCAAACAUAUUUGUGACAGCCUAGCAGACUACACUGUUUCUACAAGUUACUAAUUAAUCACAAUGUAAAAUUUAACUUCCAAGUUAAAAGUCCAACGUUUUUUUUUACUUGUUCUUCCUCUAUAAUCUUGUGAUUUCCACAUCAUAAAUGAUUUCUACUAUUUAUGGUAUGUUUUAAAAACUUGGCUGAUAUAUAACUAAAUUAAUACCUGAAAAGAAUCUCCUUUUGUCAUCACGUGCUAUAAUACUGAGCCUUGAUUUUGACUAUUAAAAGACUCUACUUGGGUUCGGUCCCCAGCCCUGAAAAAAAUAAAAAGAAAAAAGAAAAAAAGAAAGGCUCUACUACUUUUAGUCAGUGCUACCUUAUAUACUGGGAAUGAAA